GUAGUACUAUAAAUCUUCUUGUCUUUUCUUUGUUUUGUCUUUUUAUUAUCAGAUAAUUAGAAUUUCCUUUAUAUAUAAUUCAAUUAUAACCUUGAGUAGAAUUUAAGUAAAUCGUCUCGCUUUCUUUUCAGAAGUUAUCAUGACUCCCACUACUUCGAAAUUUGUGAUUACUUUGCUUUGGUGCCUAUGCACAAUCACACUGCAUUCAAUCCCAUCGCACGGGAAUGUGAAUGUUCAUUGUAAUGAAAGAGAUCGAGAAACUCUUGAAGUCUUUCAGAGAAGUAUUGAAGAUCCUUGGAAGCUGCUCUCCACUUGGUCUAGCAAUAACGAUUGUUGUCGCUGGGUUGGAGUUCACUGCGAUAAACUCACAGGUAGAGUCACAAAUCUUAAUCUUCAUUGCCAUCAGGACAAUUCUACUGAUACAUUCAGCACUGGUAACAAAUGUUUAGGAGGUCAAAUAAACUUGUUUGUGCUGAACCUGGAAUUUCUUAGCCACCUGGAUUUGCAUGGUAAUGAUUUCAAAGCUAUUUAUAUCCCAUCUGUUCAAGGAUCUUACAAUAUGUCAAUGAUGAGAAAUCUCCAUCACGCUGCAAACAGCUUCUCUCAUCUCCUUUUUCUCGACUUUUCAUAUAACUCUGAGCUCAAAAUCAAUGAUCUUAGAUGGGUUUUGCAGCUAUCUUCAUUGAAAUAUCUUAAUCUCAGUUAUACUAACCUCUCUGAGGAAAGUCUUUGGCUUCAACGGGUUAACAUGGUCCCUUCACUUUCUGAGUUAAGAUUAAGCCACUGUUUCCUUACUAACAUUCAACCAUCUCUUAGGCAAGCCAAUUUUUCUUCCCUUGAGGUACUUGAUAUUUCAGACAAUGAUUUUCACAUUGAAGUACCUAAAUGGCUAUUUAUCCUCAGCAAUACCAUUUCUCGUUUAGACCUUAGCUUGAAUAGUUUCAGGGGUCAAGUACCUGAAGGAAUGUCAAAUCUUAGGAAUUUGAAAUUCUUACUCUUGAGGGGCAAUAAAUUUACUGGUUCAAUUCCUAAAUGGGUGGGACAAUUUGAGCAGUUACAAUAUCUUGAUCUUUCAUCCAAUUUUUUUUUCUCGUCCCGUUCCUGAAACUCUAGGAAAUCUAUCUUCAUUGGAACAGUUAUUAGUUGGACACAAUGAAUUAAAUGGCAGUGUUCCAAAAUCUAUUGGGCAACUCUCAAAAUUGCAGAGAUUUUUCCCUGCCUAUAAUUGGUUAUCUGGAUCUAUUUCUUCUCUCUUAUGCCAAAUUGUAUUUGGGAAUAAACAAUUGAAGGUUUUACAAAUGGAACACAAUCGUUUAUCUGGGGAGCUUCCUAGGUGUUGGACACAAUGGACAAAACAUUUGAAGAUGAUUAUUUUGCAUUCAAAUAACAUUGGUGGCAAUAUUCCACCACAGAUUGUUGAAGACAGUGAAGAUGAUUUUACAAAGUGGUUCCACAUUGGCAAGGCAUUUGGAUUUGCUUAUGGCUUUUGGGGAGUAUGCUUCUCCCUGUUUUUCUUUAGGACCUGGAGACUUGCCUAUUUUCGAUUCCUCAAUAAAAUGAAUGACCGAAUUUAUGUCUUUGUGGUGUUAAAGACAAAAUGGUUUCACUGAAACUUUUACGAGCUCCAAGAUCGCAACUGAGAGGCAAAGAUUUCGAUCAGAAUGUAACAUAUUGAAGAGUUCUAGGAGAUCGAUGCAUGCUUCAAAGACGGGUUAGAAGUCUACUUUUUGUCAUUGGUUGUGUUUGUUUGUAUAUAUAUAUAUAUAUAUUCCAGACCUUAUCGUCAUGACCUUUAAGACAAUUCAUUGUGUAUUUACGAGAUUUAUGGUAUUAUUUGUUAUGCUUAUUGUGUAAUUCAAAAACAGUGUUGUUUGUUUAUUUUAAUUUAUCUUGUAGAUCUGGUCUGGGAUGUCUAAUAUUUAGGGAAAGUUUGAGUGCGCGCACACAAUCAAUAUUAUGUGUAUUCAGAAGA